rnacentral:lncRNA from 1 species
AGUGUUCGGGGCCGUUUUGGCGGCUAUGCAGGAUUGGCAGGAGCUGCGAUGCUCACACUUGCCUCGCCGACCGCCAUUUCACAUCCAGCAGAGGAGGCGGGGGCAGCCGCUGAGACGGUUUUUCACAAGGCUUUCUCCAUAUUUACGUGCUUGUAACUCUGGCAUGACCUUUGCUCCAGUCUCUACCAGAGGGCGGUGCCUGGAUUGAAGUGGAAAAGCCCUGUUUUCCAGCCAUGACCCAGGGAGCAAGCACUGACUCCUCAGGGGAACAGGAGACCUGCCAACUAGGACCCUGGGAGCCCCCAUGCUGGCAGUGCCCUGGGUCAUCUCAGGCUCAUCAGCAAAUCCUGGGGGGAGAGCGGGGCUGGAGGGCGAAGAAGCCCAGGAGAGUUCCUGGCUCAGAACCCCUCUCUGAGGCUCCCAAUACAGAGCCCAGGCCCCACACCCAGGGCCUCUGAGUAUUUUUGUUUAUUGUAUGUAAAAUACUAGUGUAUUUUUGUUUAAGUCUCACAGGUAAACAGGUUCUCUCA